GUGUACGGAAGUGCACCUGAAAGUCAGGAUAGAGCUUGAUUAGUUAAGCAUUUCAUUUACACUGAAAAUACACUGUGCAAUUCAGUUUAUUCUGAUAAAUUUUAACUUACUUUAGUUGUUAGUUGUUAAAAGUUUUUUUAAUUAAAUUAUUUUUAAUAGGUUAUGUUUGUGUAUAGAAUAUAGAUAAAAUUAUUUAAGUGGUAGGUUAAUUGUAUCGUGAGAGGUUGAUUGAAAUAGUUUGAAAAUAUAUUUUUAUAAAAGUAGAUUAAUGAUUGUACCUUGUGUAUCAGGGUUUAUUAAAAAAAUUGCAAAUAUUUGUAUUUUCCCGAUUUGAAGAGAGCUAAAUAAAUGUGUUAGUUAAUGUGGAAUAAUUAUUAAUAACAUUUAUUUAGUAAUGAAACGUUAUCCGUUCUUUAAGAUAUCUGGUUUUCCGAGAAAUGAAUUUAAUUCAGGUUUAAAAAAGUGUAAUUUAAUUUAUUAAAUAAAUCAUUUUUUUAAGCUAAUGCCCUGGGGGAUAAGCUUUAGGGUAGGUUUUAUAAUUAGUGAAAUUUUAAAAGAUUUAGUAGGCUUAGAAUUAGCCAUCUAUUAAAGGAUGUUAUAAUUUAAUUUUUUGUAAGUUUAAUUUUCUAAGAAUUUAAGUUUUAUAUCGGAGCAAUGUAACUAAUUUUUAGUUACUUGAGAUAAUGAUAAAAUUAGUAUAAAAAUUGUUUAAAUUAUUAAAAAAAUGUGAGGUUACAUUAAGGAAUUAGGCAAAUUAGUACUCGCCUGUUUAACAAAAACAUGUCUUCUUGAUUAUAAUUUGAAGUCUGACCUGCCCACUGAAUUUUAUAUUUGAAGGGCCGCGGUAUUUUGACCGUGCAAAGGUAGCAUAAUCAUUAGUCUUUUAAUUGAAGGCUAGAAUGAAUGGUUGGACGAGGUACUGACUGUCUCGGUGUGAUUGAUAUUAGAAUUUAACUUUUAAGUUAAAAGGCUUAAAUAUAUUUAA
rnacentral:rRNA from 1 species